rnacentral:rRNA from 1 species
GUGGGGAAUAUUGGACAAUGGGGGGAACCCUGAUCCAGCCAUGCCGCGUGUGUGAAGAAGGCCUUUUGGUUGUAAAGCACUUUAAGCGAGGAGGAGGCUACCGAGAUUAAUACUCUUGGAUAGUGGACGUUACUCGCAGAAUAAGCACCGGCUAACUCUGUGCCAGCAGCCGCGGUAAUACAGAGGGUGCAAGCGUUAAUCGGAUUUACUGGGCGUAAAGCGCGCGUAGGUGGCCAAUUAAGUCAAAUGUGAAAUCCCCGAGCUUAACUUGGGAAGUGCAUUAGAUACUGGUUGGCUAGAGUAUGGGAGAGGAUGGUAGAAUUCCAGGUGUAGCGGUGAAAUGCGUAGAGAUCUGGAGGAAUACCGAUGGCGAAGGCAGCCAUCUGGCCUAAUACUGACACUGAGGUGCGAAAGCAUGGGGAGCAAACAGGAUUAGAUACCCGAGUAGUCC